UAAAAAUGGAGCACAGGGUUAAGGGCAGAUAGCCCUGAGGCCCUCCAACACUGUGGUGUGAUAGAGGAGAAAUAGUCGAGAAAAGAACCACGGACAUGGCCAAAGAGGUGAGUGGGAAAUCGCAGGAGUUUGAGGUCAUGGAAAUCUAGAGAAAAAUGGAGGGAAUAAUCCCUAGUAAAGCUACGAUAAAGUCAUGUAAAAUACAGAGAACUGAUCGCUAGUUUUGGCAAAAGGUUGGUCUUUUAUUCAAUAACUAUUUAUUUAGUACCAACUCUGUAUUAGAUACUGCUCAAGGGACGAGUGAACAAAACAGAUGAAAAUCCCUGUCCUCCUGGGUUUCAUAAUCUGGCGCGGGGAGGUGGAAGGUGAACAAUUAAAUCACAGUGUUAACCUUGAAAGUAAGACCUGCUUGUUAUUAUACCUGCAAAAGAGUUGAUUUGGGACUAAAAGAGGAUUUGCAAUCUGGGACAAACUAGCUGUAGCAAAACCCUAGGCAAGUGGGGAGCGGGGGACAAAGGAGAGGCAUGCUCAAGGAGAAAAGGGGUAAUUUGGAAAGGCUAUUGCGGACUAAAAGUCCCCUGGAGUAAACUGGGAGUUCGAAGCGCGGUGGCUUCUCAUUGGCUGAGCUGUUGCGGGAGGGGCGGGGUUAAGGAAAGCCGGUCCUCCUCCAGCAGGCCGCGUAGAGGAGUAUCUUGGGCAGGGUCAAGUCAGUCUCUUCCUGUUGGGCCUGCAAUUGACUACUGAGUGAUAAGGUGUCAAUGCUCCCCCCUGUGGAAACCUCCCGACUUUAUUUUAGGGAGGUUCCCCCUUACUAAUUUUCACAAUAGCAUGCUGGUUGGUGAUAAGCACUUUGCAGAAAACUAAAGCAGGGAGGAAGCGAGUUCAGGAUGAGGUGGGUAGGGCAGGGUGGUGAUUAAAAUAGGGUGAGCAGGGAGAACCACACAGGUGACUUUUGAAGACCUGAAUGAGCAGAGGGCAUGAAUGAGCUAUGCAGGGCCCUGGAGGAAGAGCCCUUAAAGGGGGAGAACACCUGCCAAAGAAAUUGCCUGGAAAGUACAAAGACUCACCAGGAUACUGGCCUGGCUGGAGCAGAGCCACCUGUGUUGCUGCCGGAAGGAAGGACAACCACACUUACAUACAUACGGUAACCUCCCCUGAGGAGAAUUAGGUGUGUAUUUGAAAGUUUUUGUUUUUCAAGCUGGACUUAAAAAAUACAGAGUAUCAAAACCCUCCUUUGUGCCUUCGUCCAGCCUUCACUGCCCCUUCUUUUGAAAACUGGACUCUUAGGAUUCUCCCCAAAUUCUGAAGAAAGAACACUGCCUCCUGAGCUGUGAUAAUGACCCUGUUACUGACUUCCCAGCCAGGAUCAAAUAGAAUAGCAAAAGACAUUUCAAAAAGUUUCAGUGGCUCCCAGAAGGUAGUAAAGAGCUGCCACAUACAUGCGAUUGAAAGAAAUACCAGCACCUGAAUGCUCCAGCUUCUGCCGCUGAGACAUGGAGGUAGGGACACUGGUUCCUGGUGAAAAAUGAGGAUGAUGGCCUAUAUUGAGUCAAGCCAUCAAUCCAGUUAUUAAUAAACCCAUAGACUUGUAACUGACAAAAAUGAAAGUUCCUUUAAGGGUCCACUGGUAAACUAAGAUCUGGAAAAGAAAUGUCUGGCAAUGGGAGUGAAAUCCAAACCACAGUAAGCUACAUUCAGUUGUUUUCAUGAAAUAGCUCGCUUUAGAGCUUUGUUGCAUUAAAAAAAAACCCACGACAUAAGAAAACAGAGUGGCAUUCCUCUGGAACCAGUGGAAUCAGAGGGAUCAUACAGUUAGAAAGAGUUCUUUGCAAAUACCGGGGAUCCAAAUCUCCUUUCCUUAUGUAACAUGGAAGAAAUUCUAGACUCGUGUGUGAUAUAUAGUCAGUGGACUUGUAGGGUAAUUCUUCUUGUGUGGGGAGAAAUGUAUGCAGUCCUGGGAACAGACCCAAAUAAAGUUUAAAACAG